UACGUAGGGUGCAAGCGUUAAUCGGAAUUACUGGGGCGUAAAGCGUGCGUAGACGAUAGCGUAAGUCAGAUGUGAAAAGCCCCCGGGCUCAACCUGGGGAAUUGCAUUUGAGACUGCUCUGCUCGGGUGCGGAAGAGGGAAGCGGAAUUUCCGGUGUAGCGGUGAAAUGCGUAGAUAUCGGAAGGAACACCAGUGGCGAAAGCGGCUUCCUGGUCCGACACC
rnacentral:rRNA from 1 species